UGUUCGUCCAAGACUAAAACCGACUGCGGUGCCUUCGCAAAGACUACCUAAAAGGCGUCAUGACAGAGAGACGCAGCAUCGGAAGUCGCCAGUCCGUAGGUGCGAGCCAAGUCUGCAAACGACUUCACGUGAAGUAGAGCAGAACGUAACACAGUGUUAUGACCACACCAAAGAAAUUUCUUGUGACUCAC